ACCAGCUCCAGUGAUAAACCAAAAUCCUCAGCAGACUGAAACUGGACCUGACUCACGUCUGGACAAAUCUCCCUGAGCUCAGCAACCAUCAUGGAGGUUUUACCAGUUCCUUAAAUGCACCUCGAUGAGCAAGGAGAGGAGAGAGGAGGGUUCUGGAGGAGCUGAGUCUCAUAGCUAUGCGCAGAGGUGACAUCAGCAGCAAUGUCAUCAUACUCUUCAUCUUCAUCCAAUCCGUGACCACCAUCUACACGCUG